GACGAACGCUUUCUUCUUUCUUAACACAUGCAAGUCGAACGGGCUCUGUCUGGCUGUGUGCUGGGUGGGGGUAGUGGCGAACGGGUUAGUAAUACGUGAGUAACCUGCCCUCUUCUUUGGGAUAAGCCUUGGCAACGGGGUCUAAUACUGGAUAUUCCUGUCUGGUCGCAGGGCGGGGUGGGGAAAGUUUUUUUCGGGGGGGGAUGGGCGCGCGGCCUAUCAGCUGGGUGGUGGGGGGAUGGCCUAGCAAUUCGUGGACGGGUAGCCGGCCUGGGAGGGUGGCCGGGCACAGUGGACCUGAGAUACGGCGCCGAGUCCUACGGGAGGACGCAGUGGGGGGUAUGGAACGAUGGGCGCAAGCCUGAUGGAGGGACGCUGAGUGGGGGAUGCCGCGUUUCGGGUUGUAACCCUCUUUCGGCGGGGGACAAGGGUCUGCUUGGUGGUGGGGUUGAGGGUACCCGGUGAAGAAGCGACGGCUAACUACGUG
rnacentral:rRNA from 1 species